UUCCACUAAAACUCUGGCAGAUGGAUGUCACACACAUAUCUCAAUUUGGAAAUUUAAAAUAUACACAUGUUUCUGUUGAUACCUGUUCUAGCAUUAUACAUGCCACUCUGAUGACUGGUGAAAAGGCUCGUAAUGCCAUCAGUCAUUGCUUAGAGGUGUGGACAGCCUGGGGAAAGCUGACAGCCUCAAGACAGACAACGGACCUGCCUACACUACAAAGUCUUUUCAGACAUUUUGCCAAACAAUACAGGUCAAACAUACUACAGGAUUGCCAUACAAUCCCCAAGGUCAAGGAAUUGUAGAAAGAGCACAUCGUACUUUAAAAGAGCUCUUACAAAAACAAAAAGGGGGAAUUGCCUAUGGCAAAACACCAAGAGAACAGUUGUCUUUAGCUCUUUUUACUCUAAAUUUCUUAAUUUUGGAUAUGCAUGGCCGCUCUGCUGUGGAUCGCCAUGCUGCUACUAAAUCUAUGACUAAUCAAAUACAGACAGCUGAGACUAUCAAUCAGAUUGUAGAAAGAACCGCAGUGGCAUUAGAGAUACAAGAAGAAUUUAAUGCCCACUUGGCAUCUGGCUUUCUAUUAGCUAACCAACGAAUAGAUUUGAUUCAAGAACAAAUUGAGGCAUUAUAUCAUAUGACACAGCUGUCCUGCGUUUCCUCUCUUAGAGGUUUAUGUGUUACUCCAUUGCAAGCUAACUUUUCUCAGUAUUUUCAACAGAGCAAAGAAAUCUCAA
rnacentral:lncRNA from 1 species